CUAAAGUGCAAACACUAUGUCAACUGUACUUUGUCGUUUUCUGAAGCCGUGUUUAUUCUUUGGUAGACAGUCCUGUUCAAUGUGCAGCAUCGAGUGGUGAAACAGGAUUGUUGUUACAGCUAAGCCUUGACUGGACGGUUUGAUGGACCAUCUCUGACAGAUGAAAAUGUAUUUGAUUUAAAUGAACAGUAACAGUUGUCACCAACCAUGGAUACCCGAUAACAACUUGGAUUGAUUCCUGGGCAGAAUGUGUGAAUGAUAUAGAGGCAGAAAGUCCCCAGGCUGGAAGAAUCAGGAUCUGGGUCUCUAACUUUGAAGAGACCAUGAAGAUCAUCCCAUCUCAGACGGCCAGACAAUGCCAAGACGCCAUUGAUCACCAGUUCUGACAACAAAGCCAGCUCUUCUGCAGCCAUUAAUUCUGAGCUGGCUUGAGUGGCACUUCUGAUUCUCAACUGGUGCAUUGUGCUUUCUUCCUUUUCAGGGAGACAAAGAUGCGGCUUGGACUGUUUUUCAAAAACCAAAGAGUUACCUGUAUUAUGUUCCGUUCAUCAAUUUAAAUUAAAAGAAAAUUUAAAAAUAGUAACUUAUAUGGACAAGUCAGGUAGGGCAGCAUUGGAGAAGAAUGAUUCCUGAUUUGUUAUUGGCUUCACCACUUUGCACACUACUAUAUUCCACUCACCAAGUGAAUCGUCACUCCACCGAAUCCAACUUGAUACAAAUCACAUAACCUGAACCAUGCAAUACCCAAAUCUGGCAUGGUUUGACUCUGUACCUGUAAAAUAAUUAUACUUCUAUUUGUUAAUGUCAGUUAACCUUA